AUGAUGAACACAAAGGGAAAGAGGAGGCACGCAGUAUGUGUGCUCUAGGCCUUUUAGAAAACACGGAGUUGCUCCUUUGGGCAUGUAUAUGUGAAUCUAUGAGAAAGAUGAUAUUGCAGACAUCAAAGGAAUGGGUACUUUUUGAAAAGGAAUGCCCCACGAGUGUUAUUACGGCAGAACUGGAAGGGUCUACAGUGUUCCCCAGCAUGCUGUUGGCAUUGUUGUAAACAAGUUAAGGGCAAGAUUCUUGCCCAGAGAAUAAAUGGGUGUACUGAACACAUUAAGCACUCUAAGAGCUGAGAUAACUUCUUGAAAUGUGUGAAGGAAAAUGAGCAUAAAAAGGAAGAAGCCAAAGAGAAAGGGACCUGGGUUCCACUGAAGGACCAGCCAGCUCCACCCAGAGAAGCACACUCUGUGAGAACCAAUGGGAAGGAGCCUGAGCUGCUGGAACCUAUUCCCUAUGAGUUCAUGGCAUAA
rnacentral:lncRNA from 1 species